rnacentral:tmRNA from 1 species
GGGGGCGUAUUUUGGUUUCGACGGGGGUAAUGGAGUCUUUAAAUAGCGAGUAAAGUUUUCGUAGAUUCUUUUAAAAAAUUUACGGAAAAAAGUAAACGACAAAGAUUAUUCUUUACAAGCUGCUUAAUUAAUCGCAGCUUCAUUCUUUCUGUGAGUCCUACGGCAUAGAUAAGAGUGUUAAAUUUUAGUAGGGAAACGAGCCUUGAUAAGCUUUGCUCAGGGAACGGGAUUUUAUGAAGCUACUUUAAAUAAAUUUUGUUUAUGGAAGGUAUUUAAGGGAAAUUAAAUCAUAAACUGCACUCGGAGAAGUUUAAGGAUGACUGCUUUCGGACAGGGGUUCAACUCCCCUCGCCUCCACCA